UGGGGAAUUUUGGGAUCAAUGGGCGCAAGCCUGAUCCAGCCAUGCCGCGUGCGGGAAGAAGGCCUUCGGGUUGUAAACCGCUUUUGUCAGGGAAGAAAUCUUCUGAGUUAAUACCUCGGGAGGAUGACGGUACCUGAAGAAUAAGCACCGGCUAACUACGUGCCAGCAGCCGCGGUAAUACGUAGGAUGCAAGCGUUAAUCGGAAUUACUGGGCGUAAAGCGUGCGCAGGCGGUUUUGUAAGACAGAGGUGAAAUCCCCGGGUCUCAACCUGGGGAACUGCCUUUGUCGACUGCAAGGGCUUGAGUGCUGGCAGAGGGGGAAUGGAAUUCCGCGUGUAGGCAGUGAAAUGCGUAGAUAUGCGGAGGAACACCGAUGGC
rnacentral:rRNA from 1 species